rnacentral:misc_RNA from 1 species
GAAAAAAUUAGUUUCUACGAUAUGGACGAAUCUCAUCCGAUCGUAGCUCCGGUAGCCGGAGUUGGACUAGGAGUCACCGGAGAUGUUGCUGUUGUUGUUCCUGCUGGAGGAAGUGCUGUGAGUUCGGUUGGAAGCAUGAUCGGCGGCGUCGGCGUCGGCGUCGGAGGAGGAGAGAAGAGGAAGAGAGGUAGGCCGCCACGUGGACAAGCGGGGAAGCCACCACCGCCGCCGAAGAUACAGAGAGUGGUGGUGGAGGAAGAUGAGGAAGAAGAUGUUUGUUUUAUAUGUUUUGAUGGUGGUUCUCUUGUACUAUGCGAUCGCAAGGGUUGUCCGAAGGCAUACCAUCCAGCUUGUAUUAAGCGGGACGAGGAAUUUUUCAGCUCAAAUGCUAAAUGGUUCUGUGGUUGGCAUAUUUGUAGUGUGUGUCAAAAGGCUUCUCACUAUAUGUGCUAUACUUGUACAUAUUCAUUGUGCAAGGGAUGUACUAAAAAUGCGGAUUACUUCCAU